GAGCAAUGUUGAAAAGGUUUUACCACUGACCUUUAUAACUAGGAAGGUCUCGACACCAGAUCUGAGCCCA
ensembl:snoRNA